GUGAGGAAUAUUGGUCAAUGGGCGAGAGCCUGAACCAGCCAAGUCGCGUGAAGGAUGAAGGUUUUAUGAAUUGUAAACUUCUUUUGCAGGGGAAUAAAGUACGGUACGUGUACCGUUUUGUAUGUACUCUGCGAAUAAGGAUCGGCUAACUCCGUGCCAGCAGCCGCGGUAAUACGGAGGAUCCAAGCGUUAUCCGGAUUUAUUGGGUUUAAAGGGGCGCAGGCGGGUUGAUAAGUCAGCGGUGAAAGUUUGCAGCUUAACUGUAAAAUUGCCGUUGAAACUGUCGAUCUUGAGUGCAAAUGAGGUAAGCGGAAUGUGUUGUGUAGCGGUGAAAUGCUUAGAUAUAACACAGAACACCGAUUGCGAAGGCAGCUUACUGGGAUGCAACUGACGCUCAUGCACGAAAGCGUGGGGAUCAAACAGGAUUAGAUACCCUAGUAGUCC
rnacentral:rRNA from 1 species